UGCAAGUCGAGCGGCAAGUCGAGGAGUAAUCUGAGACCUAGAGCGGCGUACGGGUGCGUAACGCGUAUGCAACCUACCUCAUACAGGGGGAUAGCCCGGAGAAAUCUGGAUUAAUACCCCAUGGCACAGCACAAGGGCAUCUGCGAGCUGUUAAAGAUUCAUCGGUAUGAGAUGGGCAUGCGUCUGAUUAGCUAGUUGGCGGUGUAACGGACCACCAAGGCGACGAUCAGUAGGGGUUCUGAGAGGAAGGUCCCCCACACUGGCACUGAGAUACGGGCCAGACUCCUACGGGAGGCAGCAGUAGGGAAUAUUGGGCAAUGGACGAGAGUCUGACCCAGCCAUGCCGCGUGCAGGAAGACGGCGUUCUGCGUUGUAAACUGCUUUUAUCUGGGAAGAAAAGGCCCGUGCGCGGGACAUUGCCGGUACCAGAUGAAUAAGCACCGGCUAACUCCGUGCCAGCAGCCGCGGUAAUACGGAGGGUGCAAGCGUUGUCCGGAUUUAUUGGGUUUAAAGGGUGCGUAGGCGGCUGUUUAAGUCAGUGGUGAAAGACUCCGGCUCAACCGGAGCAGUGCCAUUGAUACUGGGCAGCUUGAGUGUUGGAGGGGUACAUGGAAUUGAUGGUGUUGCGGUGAAAUGCAUAGAUACCAUCAGGAACACCGAUAGCGAAGGCAUUGUACUGGCCAACACUGACGCUGAGGCACGAAGCAUGGGAGCGACAGGAUAGAUACCUGGUAGUCAUGCGUAACGAUGAUACUCCUGU
rnacentral:rRNA from 1 species